rnacentral:misc_RNA from 1 species
CGGCAAGGAGGCUUUUUGAUGAUAUGCCGGUUAAAGACUUGGUUUCUUGGAAUGUGAUGAUCACUGGGUAUGUGAAGCAAGGGAAGAUGGAUAAUGCGAGGGAGUUGUUUGAUAUUGUGCCAAAGAGGGAUGUUGUGACUUGGAAUGCCAUGAUUUCCGGAUAUGUGCUUUGUGGAGAAAAUGAGAAGGCUUUGAAAAUGUAUGAAGAGAUGAGAGGUGCAGGGGAAUACCCUGAUGAAG